rnacentral:lncRNA from 1 species
GUUGAUGCUGCCACCACCAUGUUUCACCAUAGAGAUGGUGCAAGGUUUCCUCCAGUCUGUUUGAUGAUUGGCUUUGCUACUGUCUAAUGCUGUAUAAUUCCCUCAACCUGUGGUGUUGCAGUUGUUGGUGUUGCUGUUUGAUGCGAUGUGGCUCUUUGAAACAACCAGUAUGAUUACUCUCAAGUUGCCAGGUGAGUAGAUUAUAUAUUUUUUGUUUGAUACUCUAUCAUUCUGUGGAUGCCAGUAUUCAGUUAUGAAUAAAUUAAUGAUAUAAACUGUAUAUUGUAUAUGGCUCAUUAGAGAUGAGCAAGGAACUGAUCAGAGGGGAUAUUUGAUACUGGUCUAAUGCUAUUGUUGUUACCUUGAUGGUGAAAUAAAUAUUUAUCAAAUGACUAACCUCAAGGGAAAGUAAUAUAUUAUUAUCUAAGAUUACAGAUUAACUAACUCUUUAGAUCAACAAAAAUACAGAAGUGACUGAUAGCCUGUUUGUGCACCAGCAUGUGAAGAGUAUUACUGUAUCUUUCAAAUUAACAUAUCUGAAGGUAGACCCCUUUAGGAAUGCUAUAUUAUAUUUUCCUACCUUUAAAAAGGGCAAAUCGGUACUGUACAUAUGAGUGUUGUAGAUAAGUGUGAUAACUGUUUUUUGAGGGAGUAAUUGGAAAAUGACAUUCAAUGAUACAACACCAUAGCUCCAUGUGCCUUAACAAGUUGAGGGUAAGGUCAUCUAAACCCUUAACCUGUUUACAUUAUGUGGAACACUGAGCUGAUGAGCAAGCACCAACCUUUUGAAGGUUAAACAACUGGGUUUUAUAUUUUGACUAGGUUGAUGUCCAGGGACAGUUAGUGAAAAACAUAGGUCAAUCCAACCCUAUUGUGGUAAGAAAUAUGGAAACAGUGGUUAACAUUGAGAGAUUUAUUCAUCUCUGAAUCUACAUUUCUCUUGGUAUGUGUGUGUAUUUUUGAUACUCACUCCCAUUAAUAGAAGUCUAACCUUUAUUAUCAUUAUAGUAUUACCAUACUAAUUGGAUUCCACAACCCAGAAUGAAGGGUUUGAAAUUAUGAAGUGUCUGUUUUUUUUCUGUGUUGAUUUCCAUUACUUUAAUAGGAGUAUAGAAUAUUUUGAUAUAGAAGCUAAAAUCUAAAUGCUUACAUUAAAAUGUAAUGAUUAUUGUCACACAAGUGAUGAGGAUGGAAUGUAAUGGACAUUUAAUGUUUGUGCUUUCCUUAUAACUAAUUUCUGUGUUCAAUUCAUGUGCUGUUAUAUAAACCAAUUUAUGUGUUCAUGCAAGUGGUUGACUGUACAAAUCCUCACUAUCAGUAGCUGAAAUUUGGAAGUACGCCCAGACCUUGUUUUGAAAGAUAUCUCAGUUUCAAGGUCUCAGCUUAGAGAGAUGAAGCCUCAUGAGGUAUUGGUCUGUCACGUGUUAUGAACCAGUAUUGGUCUGUCACAAAACACUAAUGAUUAAUUAUGCUACAUCAUGCAAAUAUAACUUGUCUGCGUAUAGCCGUAUAGAAGACAACUAUUGGGACUGCCCAGGCAGAGCUCCUGAUUGACAUGUGUACUAUGAUGUUUUGAGUUGGUUGGAACCUCUCCAGCAUGCUGACAAAUAAACAAUGAUUAAUUUAAGAUUGACUUUGAGUGUCCCUGUGAAAGAAUUUCCAAGACAUAACCAUAUCUGUCUUAUGUAACCAUACAAAAUGUAACAUAUCAUACUAAUUUGGUAUACUUGAUUGACGUUUACUAUGUUAUGUCUAGUCUAUGAGACCAGGCUUUUCUGAGUUCCUCAGAGACAGUAGUGCUUUUACUUAGGGUGAUUUUAUUGUGCUAAUUUAUCUUCCUGGUAGCAUUUUAUUUGGCUUAUUUAUUUUACUUCCAUCAGUCUCUCUGGUUUCACUGUUGUUUUCUUGCCCUAUUCAGUUUAAUUUUACCAUUUUAAUUUGUCUAGGUCAUCUAUCAUAUCUUUGUCAUUUUUAUAUAUGUAUUUAUUAUUUUACUUUUGGUUUUAAGAACUUUCAAAUGCAUUAACUUGUGCUCUAUGAAUAAAGUUUGAUUUGAUAUAGAAUUAUGCCGUACCGUAGGUCAAACAUGUCUUUCUAACAUGCAGAAAUAAGGAAUCAUUAGAGUCCUUCCUCUUACUCAAACACCAAGACAAUAUAUCAAAUUGCUUCGAAGAAGAAGUCUGUCUCAUGAUAGCAUGGUCAGCAUAAUGUUUAUAACACAUUUCUAAUGUACAGUAUUUAGCCAAAAACCUGUUUGCCUCUGCCAGUAUAGCGGACAUGAGCCGAAGAAUGGUUGCUCAUGGUCACAUGAAGCAGUAGCCCCCCUGCAACUUCAAAGUCAAUGUCUGGCCUCAGCCCAAGAGGGGAUUUCCUCUUGGUUUAAUGGACCUGAGCCCUAGGACCAUGCCUCAGGACUACCUGGCAUGAUGACUCCUUGUUGUCCCCAGUCCACCUGGCCGUGCUGCUGCUCCAGUUUCAACUGUUCUGCCUGCUGCUAUGGAACCCUGACCUGUUCACUGUGAUUACUAUUAUUUGACCAUGCUGGUCAUUUAUGAACAUUUGAACAUCUUGGCCAUGUUCUGUUAUAAUCUCCACCCGGCACAGCCAGAAGAGGGCUGGCCACCCCUCAUAGCCUGGUUUCUCUCUAGGUUUCUUCCUAGGUUUUGGCCUUUCUAGGGAGUUUUUCCUAGCCACCGUGCUUCUACACCUGCAUUGCUUGCUGUUUGGGGUUUUAGGCUGGGUUUCUGUACAGCACUUUGAUAUAUCAGCUGAUGUAAGAAGGGCUAUAUAAAUACAUUUGAUUUGAUUUGAUUAUUGCGGACAGUCUGAGCACUGAUGGAGGGAUUGUGCGUUCCUGGUGUAACUCGGGCAGUUGUUGUUGCCAUCCUGUACCUGUCCUACAGGUGUGAUGUUCGGAUGUUCCCUGUCGUUCAGCCAUCAAACCAUUCACUGCUCCACCAGGUGUGUGGGAAACUUUGAUCUUGUGCCUCCAUUCUCCACUGAUACAUAUGGGCUGAUGCUGAGAGUCGUUGUGGGAGUACCCAUGAUGUAUAGAGCAUUUGGACAAGAGUGAAGAAAAAGAGCAGUGCGUAGCUAAUUGAUGGAUUUUAUUUUGGGUAAAAAAAAACAUUGUACAGUUUAAAAAAAACAUUACUUAAUAACAAGAAAAUCCAGAGGAUGAAAAACACUUAUUUCCAGUGUGGUCCUCAGUUAAUGAUAUGCUACUUUUCGUUGAGCUAUAAACAUGUACCACUGCAGCAGCUACACUGUAAAAAUAGAAAGUCUCAAAACACCAUGAUUGUGUAAUGAAAUCACAAAGUAAUGCACCUAAGCUGAGAUCUGGUGUUUGGAGGGUGUUUGAUUUAAACCCAAUGUAUUUGAUUUAAUGCACAGAAUGUGUUUUAAAACAGAAAUUAAGUACUCCAAAAAACCCAAAGUGGUUCUUCACUGUACCCCGGGCGCCGAUGACGUCGAGGCAGCCCCCUGCACCUCUCUGAUUGAGACACAUUUCAGUUGAAUGCAUUCAGUUGUACAACUGACUAGGUAUCCCCCUUUCCCCUUUCAAACUUAAUACUGGUGUUUUUUAAAAGUGUUGUGAAAACACAUUGAGGGUUUCAGUGCAUGUAAAAAGCAGCAAUAAAACACCAAAACUGUGUUUCUCACACAAUGAAUGAUUUAGAAAUGCAAAUGGUUUAUAUCCUAAAUAUUGAUUAAUGAUUAAGGGCCUAACGAUAAUAUUUUUGGGGGAAUUCCACCUUAACUUCUUCAAUGCUUUAAUUAGACAGACUCGAAAUAGGAGGGGCAGUAAGAUUCAAAUCAAAUUUUAAUUGGUCACAUACACGUUUAGCAGAUGUUAUUGCAGGUGUAGCGAAAUGUUUGUGUUUCUAGCUCCAACAGUGCAGUAAUAUCUAAACAGGUAAUAUCUAAUAAUUUCACCACAAUACACACAAAUCUGAAGUAAAGGAAUGGAAUUAAGAAUAUAUAAAUAUUUGUAUGAGCUAAACACAUUUUUCACCCGCUUUGAGGAUAACACAGUGCCACUGACAUGGCCAGGUACCAAGGACUGUGUCCUUCUCCGUGGCCGACGUGAGUAAGACAUUUUAACGUGUUAAACCGCGCAAGGCAGGCCCAGACAACAUCCCUAGCUGCAUCCUCAGAGCAUGCACAGACCAACUGGCUGGAGUGUUUACGGACAUAUUCUAUCUCCCUAUCCCAGUCUGCUGUCCCCACAUGCUUCAAGAUGGCCACCAUUGUUCCUGUACCCAAGAAAGUAAAGGUAACUGAAUAUCGCUUCUGUCAUCAUGAAGUGCUUUGAAAGACUAGUGUCAUGUAAUUAUUGUAAUCAAAAGGAGAGACUUAAAUUUCCUCAAAACAAGUAAACUUUAUUAUUUAAUUACAUCAGUAAUGGAGCUUUACAACGACACUAGUCAAGGAUCAUAUCACCUCUACCUUACAAUUGAUUAAAUGUAGAUUUUUUUUUGUCACACACAAUACCCCAUGUCAAAGUGGAAUAAUGUUUUUAGACAUUUUUUUAAUUAAGUGAAUAGCUGAAAUAAGUAUUCAAUCCCUUUGUUAUGGCAAGCCUAAAUAAGUUUAGUAGUAAAGAUUUGCUUAACAAGUCACAUAACAGAGCCCCACUGUGGAGGUGUCAUAAUACCCAUAAAACCAAGCAGUCAAACAGGGAAAUGGUUCCAAUUGUCUUUCCACCAUACAUUUUUCCCAAAGGGGAUUUUAGAAACACUUAAAAUAAGGGCUUUGUUUCGUGUAUGCUUACAUGAUGUUUUGAUAACCAUGUAAAACUCUCCAGGACAAGGUGACUUUUAUCAAUAUAUUCGGCUCUAUUUACUCUCAGAUUUGAAAAUGCUAAUUUGCCUCGAUUCUGUAGUCUAGCCUAGAUCAUCAUUGUCACGUCCUGACCCUAGUAAGAUGUCAUUUUCUACAGUAGAGUAGGGCAGGGCGUGACAGGGGGUGUUUUGGGUUGUUCUAUGUUUUCUAUUUCUAUGUUUAAGUUCUAGUUUUUCUAAUUCUAUGUUGGGAUUGUUUGGGGUUGAUCUCUAAUUGGAGGCAGCUGAUCCUCAUUGCCCCUGAUUAGAGAUCAUAUUUAAGUAGGGGUUUUUCUCUUCCUGUUAGUGGGUUAUUAUCUUUUGAGUAGUGUGGUUUUCUUGCGGCGUCACGGUUUGUUGUUUUUGUAUAUUCAAGUAUUUAAGUGUAUUGCAUUCAGUUUCACGUUUAAUAAAUAUGUGGAACUGCGAACACGGUGCAUUUUGGUCCGCUUCUUCAAACAGCCGUGACAAUCAUGGCAUUUGCAGUUCUGUAUGAUAGCCGCUAUUUAGCAUUUCAUAUGGGGAGUGUAAACACAGGCGAAUAUAUUUAUAAAAGUCACCUUGUCCUAUAGAGAUUUACAUGGUUAUCAAAACGUCAUGAAA